UUAUUACUCCUCGUGGUUGUGGUUUACUGUUCCGGAAAACCUUCGCGUUCCGUUCUUUCCAGAUGAGCCAGAGCACUCCAGCUAGAAUUCCACCCGAUUUUGACCCUACUUGGGAAGUCACACAGAAGGAGGAGAUGUUCGAGCGUUUCAGGAGCCUUCUUACACAUCGGACACAAUGGAUCAGGGACUCGUAGCUCAUCCGCCAUCCUCUCCUUUAAUAGCAGCGGACAGUUUGGCCCAAAGAAGAUGCCCGAUUUGUUUAGAUUUAUUGCCUGCCCCGAAGCAUAGCAGUAUUGGUUUAAAAUAUUGGACAGGCUUUGGCAUUC